CCUACGGGAGGCAGCAGUGGGGAAUAUUGCACAAUGGGCGAAACCCUGAUGCAGCGACGCCGCGUGAGCGAAGAAGGCCUUCGGGUCGUAAAGCUCUGUCCUAAGGGAAGAAGAAGACGGUACCUUAGGAGGAAGCCCCGGCUAACUACGUGCCAGCAGCCGCGGUAA
rnacentral:rRNA from 1 species